AGAUGAGUUAGGGAGGAGAGCCUUGUGGUGUCACCUGGGCCAGAUGUGAGUCCUUGCUUGUCCCCAUUCUAGGCGUAGCCUGGUGACGGUCACGGCCCUUCUGUGCCCCUUAGUCUCAUACUCUAGAAAAUGGAAGAUAAUGACACACACCUCCGAGGGGGGGCUCGAGAACAGGAUAGAUCAUCGCUGCGUAAGCUCUAAUGAUGAUGCCAGCGGCGGAUGCUGAGGACUCACCUUGUGCCAGGCACCCUUCUACGCUCAUUUAACCAUCACAGCACGCCCCGAAGGCAACACUAAUAUCCUCCCUGCUUUACAGGUGAGGAAACCGGAGGCUCCCAGUGCCCAGGGUCUCGUCAUGGGGUCUCUAAGGGGAACCACUCGGCUUAACCGGUAAUGCGCUGUGGCCAUGAUCAAUUUUCCCAUUCUUGAAAUCAAUGCUCUUUGAGUGUAAGGACACUAAGGUUUCAGUCCUCUCCCCGCACCUCCACUGUUUCUCCUGCACCCCCGGGGGAGGGCCCUGGGGGCUGGGGGUCUGCAGACCGAGAGCGCAGGCGGGGAGCUCCGGGGGCUCCCCUCGGGCUCUUCCGCGGUGUUUGCGCUUUGGCUGUGGCAACACUGGCCCCCAGUGGUGAGGCUGCGGCAUAGCCCCUCGCACAAUCCGGACGCUCAGACCCCUGAAUCCUGGAGAGAGGAUGGUGUCCGAGACGAACCACAGACUCCUGGCACAUUGGAGCGGACAGAUCUUCCGUGCGCUGUGAAAUUAAUCUGUGUCCAUGCAUUUCUUGCUGCAGGGAGUAAGCGUGUCUUUGAGAUCAGGCCCGUCUCUCCGGUUGGUGUAGACAGAUCCGUCUCUUGCUCUGUAACUGGUGCAAAGCAACCCUGUUGGAGGGAUUACUUGGAUUUAUUUACCCAACACACACCAAGGAGCAUCCAAGUGCAGGCUGGGUGAAUCCCUCCUCUUCUGUCUCCAAAGUCGAGGUUGAAAUAUGAGUCUUCAUACUUGUAUCCUCAUACUCUAGAAGAUGGAUUUUCAAGAGUGGGAUUUCUGGACCCGAAGGGAAGUGUGUAUCAACCUAUAAUAAACAAUAUCAGAAUUCCUUCCA
rnacentral:lncRNA from 12 species